rnacentral:rRNA from 1 species
CGCGGGGGGGCGGCCUACCAUGCAGUCGAGCGCGAACGGUCCUUCGGGACUGAUUAGAGCGGCGGACGGGGGAGUAAUGCGCAGGAAUUUGCCCAGCAGUGGGGGAUAGCCCGGAGAAAUCCGGAUUAAUACCGCAUAUACCCUACGGGAAAGAAGGGGACUCUUCGGAGCCUUUCGCGAUUGGAUGUGCCCAAGUGGGAUUAGCUAGUUGGUGAGGUAAAGGCUCACCAAGGCAACGAUCCCUAGCUGGUUUGAGAGGAUGAUCAGCCACACUGGAACUGAGACACGGUCCAGACUCCUACGGGAGGCAGCAGUGGGGAAUAUUGCACAAUGGGCGCAAGCCUGAUGCAGCCAUGCCGCGUGUAUGAAGAAGGCCUUCGGGUUGUAAAGUACUUUCAGCGAGGAGGAAAGGGUGUAGGUUAAUAACCUGCAUCUGUGACGUUACUCGCAGAAGAAGGACCGGCUAACUCCGUGCCAGCAGCCGCGGUAAUACGGAGGGUCCGAGCGUUAAUCGGAAUUACUGGGCGUAAAGCGUACGCAGGCGGUUUGUUAAGCGAGAUGUGAAAGCCCCGGGCUCAACCUGGGAACUGCAUUUCGAACUGACAAACUAGAGUUUUGUAGAGGGUGGUAGAAUUUCCAGUGUAGCGGUGAAAUGCGUAGAGAUUGGAAGGAACAUCAGUGGCGAAGGCGGCCACCUGGACAGAUACUGACGCUGAGGCACGAAAGCGUGGGGAGCAAACAGGAUUAGAUACCCUGGUAGUCCACGCCGUAAACGAUGUCAACUAGCUGUCUGUAGACUUGAUCUGUGGGUAGCGCAGCUAACGCGAUAAGUUGACCGCCUGGGGAGUACGGCCGCAAGGUUAAAAACUCAAAUGAAUUGACGGGGGCCCGCACAAGCGGUGGAGCAUGUGGUUUUAAUUCGAUGCAACGCGAAGAACCUUACCAUCCCUUGACAUCCAGAGAAGCGACAAGAGAUAGACGUGUGCCUUCGGGAUCUCUGUGACAGGUGCUGCAUGGCUGUCGUCAGCUCGUGUUGUGAAAUGUUGGGUUAAGUCCCGCAAACGAGCGCACCCUUAUUCCUUAUGCAGCGAGUAAUGUCGGACUUAAGAGACUGCCGGUGAUAACGGAGGAAGGGGGGCACUACCAUCAGUCAUUCAUGCUUACAGGAUUGGUUACCACUGCUACAAUGGCGAUUACAAGGGAAAGCGAGAAACUCUCAAAGUUGAGA